AUUGAACGCUGGCGGCACGCCUAACACAUGCAAGUCGAGCGGUAACAUGAUUUGUAGCAAUACAAAUUGAUGACGAGCGGCGGACGGGUGAGGAACACGUAGGAAUCUGCCCAGAAGCGGGGGACAACCAAGGGAAACUUUGGCUAAUACCGCGUAAUCUCGCAAGAGUAAAGCUGCCCGCAAGGGUGGCGCUUCUGGAGGAGCCUGCGUCCGAUUAGCUAGUUGGUGAGGUAAGAGCUCACCAAGGCGAUGAUCGGUAACUGGUCUGAGAGGACGACCAGUCACACUGGGACUGAGACACGGCCCAGAAUCCUACGGGAGGCAGCAGUGGGGAAUAUUGGACAAUGGGGGCAACCCUGAUCCAGCGGUGCCGCGUGGGUGAAGAAGGCCUUCGGGUUGUAAAGCCCUUUAGGUUGGGAAGAAGUGUACGGGGCGAAUAACCCCGUAUGUUGACGGUACCGACAAAAUAAGCACCGGCAAACUCUGUGCCAGCCGCCGCCGUAA
rnacentral:rRNA from 1 species